rnacentral:rRNA from 1 species
AGUGAACGCUGGCGGUAGGCCUAACACAUGCAAGUCGAACGGCAGCACAGUAAGAGCUUGCUCUUACGGGUGGCGAGUGGCGGACGGGUGAGGAAUACAUCGGAAUCUACUUUUUCGUGGGGGAUAACGUAGGGAAACUUACGCUAAUACCGCAUACGACCUACGGGUGAAAGCAGGGGAUCUUCGGACCUUGCGCGAUUGAAUGAGCCGAUGUCGGAUUAGCUAGUUGGCGGGGUAAAGGCCCACCAAGGCGACGAUCCGUAGCUGGUCUGAGAGGAUGAUCAGCCACACUGGAACUGAGACACGGUCCAGACUCCUACGGGAGGCAGCAGUGGGGAUAUUGGACAAUGGGCGCAAGCCUGAUCCGGCCAUACCGCGUGGGUGAAGAAGGCCUUCGGGUUGUAAAGCCCUUUUGUUGGGAAAGAAAAGCAGCAGGUUAAUACCCCGCUGUUCUGACGGUACCCAAAGAAUAAGCACCGGCUAACUUCGUG